rnacentral:misc_RNA from 1 species
UCUCCCGUGAGGGAGCAGUCUCGCCUGACCAUAUAGGCAACAGGCAACGAGGGUUGCGUUCGUUACCCCACUGAAGGGAACAGUUCAAACCACGAACUGACGACGACCGUGCACCACCUGUCCAACACCCUCGAAGGCUUCUCCGGUUUCCCGGAGCGUGCAGCUGGAUUUCUAAUCUUGGUAAGGUUCUUCGUUUGUCGACGAAUUGAGCCACAUAAUCCACCACUUGUGCGAAUCCCCGUCUAUUCAUUUGAGUUUUAAGCUUGCGCUCGUACUACCCAGGCGGCUCGCUUACCGCGUUAGCUUAGUCUCGCAGAGGGUCGAUACUCCGCGAAACGAGCGAGCAACGUUGAGGGCCAGGACUA